rnacentral:rRNA from 1 species
UACAGAGGUCUCAAGCGUUGUUCGGAUUCAUUGGGCGUAAAGGGUGCGUAGGCGGCGCGGUAAGUCGGGUGUGAAAUCUUGGAGCUUAACUCCGAAACUGCAUUCGAUACUGCCGUGCUUGAGGACUGGAGAGGAGACUGGAAUUUACGGUGUAGCGGUGAAAUGCGUAGAUAUCGUAAGGAAGACCAGUGGCGAAGGCGGGUCUCUGGACAGUUCCUGACGCUGAGGAGCGAAAGCAUGGGGAGCAAACAGG